AAAUGGAGGGUGCUAGAACCUUGUGACUUUGGCCAGGCACCAAUCAUCUGCCUCCUUCUGUGCCUGCCUGGCUGCCCCUACCCUGGGGCUCCCUCCUAGCCCCCACCUCACCUACUGGCUCACUGAGACAGAGCCAAACAUGAAAGGGAAGGUGACGGCCUGGCCAUAGGGCCCAGGAAAAUGCAGGUAUCAUUAACAGCCUGGAGCACUGUGGCCUGUCCACUCUCAACCCUCUGCUGCCCACCCCUUCCUGGAAUAGACCCCAGGCCACAUACAGAGGGGGCAAGCCCAAGGUAUGAUACCAGCAGGGCCAAGUGGACUGUCCAGAUGGGUAACGGGGGCCUGCCUUCCUCUGGCCUCCACAUAGGGGCCGCAGGUGUUCACAUGGUUGGAAAUGGGAGGGCCAAUGCUGUUCAUAGGCCGCUGUCUGGUCCACAGGACUCAACUGGCCCUCCGAACGCUAUCCCACUUUCCAGCCAGGAUUGAAGGAGAUCCCAUCUUGGGUCUAAAGGAAUGGGGGUGAAGACUGCAUCUUGUCGUUCCAGUUCCACCCCAUUCUGGCAUGGGAAGCAUGUGUGGGCUUCUACUCUAUGGGAGAUUCAUAGCCUCAAUCCUUAAGGAAUUCUCAAUCUGAAAGGAAAACACAAACCCUGACCUCAGGGAGCUCCCAGUUUGACAGUGGAGACAGAGAGGCCCUGCAUCAAGUAGAAAAACAACCCCCACUGCUCUCAAGCACACAGCAAUGAAGAUAUGUAUCCUUGGUGCUACAGGCAAAUGCUGACGAUACGACAGUGAAUACAACAUGAAAAAACAAGCACACUUCUCACCCCUAUGGAGCUUUAUUCUGGUCAGGCAGAAGGAGAAGGAAAUGUAAACAUGCAAGGUCAGGAGCAACUUUUUGGCACUCCCAUUUUGCAGAAGAGGAAACAGCCUGCCUAGGUCUGCUGAUUCCUGUCCUGCCUCAGGCAGGCCCGUCAGAAGGUAUCCGGAAGAAGGCAUUGUUGUCAUAGGAGAUGACAGCUCCAUGCCUGUUACUGCCCCUGAAGACCUUCCAGUGCAGAAGAUGUGGAGGUGGAAGGCAGUGGAUGUUAAUGAUCCUGACCUCAAAUAGGCCUAGGCUACCGUAUAUGUUUGUGUCUUCGUUUUUCACAAAAAAAAAUUUAAAUUUAAAAACAGAAAACAGCUUAUAGAAUAAGGACGUAAAAAAGAAAAUAUUUUUGUAGAGCUGUACCAUGCGUUUGUGUUUUAAGCUGUGU
rnacentral:lncRNA from 1 species